UGAAAACAAAAAUCUGAUUAUGUGGCAUGCCACAGUGGGGGACUACAAAUUAAUUUUGACCUCCUGGGGUUCUUAAACGUCCACCUAAAUCU
rnacentral:lncRNA from 1 species